rnacentral:rRNA from 1 species
AUGAACGCUGGCGGCUUGCCUAACACAUGCAAGUCGAGCGGCAGCGAGGGGUGCUUGCACCCUGUCGGCGCGCGGCGGACGGCUGAGUAACGCGUGGGAACGUGCCCCAAAGUGAGGAAUAACUGCCCGAAAGGGUAGCUAAUACCGCAUAUUAUCUUCGGAUCAAAGGAUUUAUCCGCUUUGGGAGCGGCUCGCGUCGGAUUAGGUAGUUGGUGAGGUAAUGGCUCACCAAGCCGACGAUCCGUAGCUGGUCUGAGAGGAUGACCAGCCAGACUGGAACUGAGACACGGUCCAGACUCCUACGGGAGGCAGCAGUGAGGAAUCUUCCACAAUGGGCGAAAGCCUGAUGGAGCAACGCCGCGUGCAGGACGAAGGCCUUCGGGUUGUAAACUGCUUUUAUAAGUGAGGAAUAUGACGGUAACUGAUGAAUAAGGAUCGGCUAACUACGUG